rnacentral:rRNA from 1 species
CGGCAACAGCUCAAAUUUGAAAUCUGACGCUUUCAGCGUUCGAGUUGUAAUUUGUAGAGGAUGUUUCGACCACGACCCCGGGUUAAAUUUCUUGGAACAGAAUGUCAGAGAGGGUGAGAACCCCGUCCUGACUCGGUGGUACGGGCCAUGUGGAACUCCCUCGAC